CCUACGGGGGGCAGCAGUCGAGAAUCAUUCACAAUGGGGGAAACCCUGAUGGUGCGACGCCGCGUGGGGGAAUGAAGGUCUUCGGAUUGUAAACCCCUGUCAUGUGGGAGCAAAUUAAAAAGAUAGUACCACAAGAGGAAGAGACGGCUAACUCUGUGCCAGCAGCCGCGGUAAUACAGAGGUCGCAAGCGUUGUUCGGAAUCACUGGGCGUAAAGCGUGCGUAGGCUGUUUCGUAAGUCGUGUGUGAAAGGCGCGGGCUCAACCCGCGGACGGCACAUGAUACUGCGAGACUAGAGUAAGGGAGGGGGAACCGGAAUUCUCGGUGUAGCAGAGAAAUGCGUAGAUAUCGGGAGGAACACUCGUGGCGAAGGCGGGUUCCUGGACAUUAACUGACGCUGAGGCACGAAGGCCAGGGGAGCGAAAGGGAUUAGAUACCCUUGUAGUC
rnacentral:rRNA from 1 species